rnacentral:rRNA from 1 species
GCGCAAGCCUGAUCCAGCAAUGCCGCGUGCAGGAUGAAGGCCUUCGAGUUGUAAACUGCUUUUGUACGGAACGAAACGGUGAGCUCUAAUACAGUUUGCUAAUGACGGUACCGUAAGAAUAAGCACCGGCUAACUACGUGCCAUCAGCCGCGGUAAUACGUAGGGUGCGAGCGUUAAUCGGAAUUACUGGGCGUAAAGCGUGCGCAGGCGGUGAUGUAAGACAGAUGUGAAAUGCCCGGGCUCAACCUGGGACCUGCAUUUGUGACUGCAUCGCUAGAGUACGGUAGAGGGGGAUGGAAUUCCGCGUGUAGCAGUGAAAUGCGGUAAUAUGCGGAGGAACG